rnacentral:lncRNA from 1 species
CAAAGACUGAGAUAUCUGUAGUGUCCAUAUUUAUAUAUCUAGUGCUUUAAAGUAGUUACUGUACAUAGACCUGAAAUAUUGUUUCCUCUUUUAGACAAAGCAUUUGGUGUGUGCACAAUUGUUGGUAAGUACAGAAAUAAACUGUGACUGUUUACGGUGUUCAUUUGUAAUUAACUUGCUAACUGAGCAUAGCAGACAACAAAAUGAGAACUAGCACAUGACACAGAGACAUGUUUUAAUGCACAUCUGUGUUUUAUGUGACUUUGUAAUAAAUCAGAGAGUUUAAUAAAUGUAGAGAUGAUUUAUAUUAAGUUUCUGAAAUGAAUCUAAACACAGCUCUCUCUCCCUUCCUCGGUUUGCCGGUGCAUCACUGUGUUAGUGACUCCAGAAUAACUGACUCCUGCUCCCGUGGACUCCAGGCCAACUCUGAUCGUAAGUUAAUACAAACUCACACUGUUACAAGCAGCACACAGUUUUGUUCUUGAUUGCAAUCUAGAAUGAUCUCUCCAUCCAGUAUCAAUUUUCAUUACAUACAGUAAAUUAUCCACCAUGAUAACCGUAAGUAUUAAAAGGAUUGAGCAGCAAAAUGUUUGAUUUAUGAAAAAAGUUUUGUUUCACACCACAAUAGGAAAUGCACAUGAGUAUGAGAUGAUUGCUUAAAUAUUGUCAUAUCAAAUUAUUCAAAGCCUAGACUUUGAAUAAAGAUUGACAUUGUA